rnacentral:rRNA from 1 species
AGCAGCCGCGGUAAUUCCAGCUCCAAUAGCGUAUAUUAAAGUUGUUGCAGUUAAAAAGCUCGUAGUUGAAUUUCGGGAUCAAAUUGUUGGUCGUGCCUCGGUACGCACUGGUAUUAUUGGUUCCUACCUUCUGAAGAACCGCGAUGUCAUUAAUUUGGUGUCGUGGGGAAUCAGGACUGUUACUUUGAAAAAAUUAGAGUGUUUGAAGCAGGCUUACGCUUGAAUACAUUAGCAUGGAAUAAUGAAAUAGGACGUUUGAUUCUAUUUUGUUGGUUUUCUAGGAUUGACGUAAUGAUUAAUAGGGAUAGUUGGGGGCAUUAGUAUUCAAUUGUCAGAGGUGAAAUUCUUGGAUUUUAUUGAAGACUAACUACUGCGAAAAGCAUUUGCCAAGGAUG